CCUACGGGAGGCAGCAGUGAGGAAUAUUGGUCAAUGGGCGUAAGCCUGAACCAGCCAAGUCGCGUGAGGGAUGAAGGUUCUAUGGAUCGUAAACCUCUUUUAUAAGGGAAUAAAGUGCGGGACGGGUCCCGUUUGGUAUGUACCUUAUGAAUAAGGAUCGGCUAACUCCGUGCCAGCAGCCGCGGUAAUACGGAGGAGCCGAGCGUUAUCCGGAGUUAUUGGGGUUAAAGGGUGCGUAGGCGGCCUUUUAAGUCAGCGUUGAAAGUCUGUGGCUCAACCCUCGAAUUGCCGUUGAAACUGGGAGGCUUGCUUCUGUUUGCGGCAGGCGGAUUGCGUGGUGUAGCGGUGAACUUCUUAGCUAUCACGCAGAACCCCGAUUUCGAAGGUCGCCUUCCAAGCCAUGCCUGACGCUGAUGCACGAAAGCGUGGGGAUCAAACAGGAUUAGAUACCCGAGUAGUC
rnacentral:rRNA from 1 species